GAUGAACGCUGACCGAAUGCUUAACACAUGCAAGUCAACUUGAAUUUGGGUUUUUAACUUAGGUUUGGGUGGCGGACGGGUGAGUAACGCGUAAAGAACUUGCCUCACAGCUAGGGACAACAUUUGGAAACGAAUGCUAAUACCUAAUAUUAUGAUAAUAGGGCAUCCUAUAAUUAUGAAAGCUAUAAGCGCUGUGAGAGAGCUUUGCGUCCCAUUAGCUAGUUGGAGAGGUAACGGCUCACCAAGGCGAUGAUGGGUAGCCGGCCUGAGAGGGUGAUCGGCAACAAGGGGACUGAGACACGGCUCUUACUCCUACGGGAGGCAGCAGUGGGGAAUAUUGGACAAUGGACCGAGAGUCUGAUCCAGCAAUUCUGUGUGCACGAUGAAGUUUUUCGGAAUGUAAAGUGCUUUCAGUUGGGAAGAAACAAAUGACGGUACCAACAGAAGAAGUGACGGCUAAAUACGUG
rnacentral:rRNA from 1 species